CAAUUUUUGAAAUCAUUCUUUCAAGAAUUAUGUUACAUAAUAAUGUAUUAUUUACAUACAUACAAAUGUAUAUAGCCGUAUGGUCUUGACAUAGAAAGGGCCACCUUUAUCUAUCCCGUGGGUGUCGUAAGAGGGAACUAUGGGAUUUUAAUAAUCGACGAAUAGGCGGUAGCGUAAAACAUCACCAAAGCCUAACUGCGGUUGCUAAUCCGCCUGCUAUACGUAGCAACUACUGGCAAAACUCCCUUUAUGGGGGAGGUCUGUGUUCAGUAGUGAACAGUAAACUGCUAAUAUGAAAACAUAUGUACCUACUCGUUUUUUUUAUUUAAAACACAUAAUAUAAAAAAAAAUAAUAAUUGAAUCGUUAGAUAAUCAUAAUAAUUUCUUCUACCCAGAGCAUGCCAGUGUCAGUGAACUUUGAAAACUGUUGGUCGUUUUAAAUAGCAGUGUGUCUCGUUUUCAGGGAUGUUAAUGUGCCUGAUAGCUCUCUUAGGUAUAUCGAAGAGCUCAUUAAUCGGCACAUCUUGCAGAAAUGCUGACCGUAGCGACUGCGCUGGCUAUAGUGGACUAUGGUGUGGCCAUGGAACGAGCGGUUAACGCAUUUCGUUGUAAAGUUAUAUAUACUCCAUAACGACAGACCGUUGAGAGUUGGACAUAACUAGUUACUUGCAAAUAUUGUUAUAAGCGCAGAGAUUAUGGUUACAAUAAUAAUUAAUACGAAUAGCAACCCUAUAACUUAUCCUAAACUGCCGUAACAAUGUCAUAUUACUAUGUUUAUUAUGGACAUAAAAAUAUUAAUUUAUCAAACCUGUAAUCUUUUAUGCCAAGUUUUUCUUGUAAAGAAACUUAUCAAUUUGUUUAAUGUACAUGAAUAAGGCAAAAAUUAAUUAAGGAAAAAGAAAAGUUUUAUGUCUUAUGUCUAUGUGUAAUUGUGAAUAGUAAUAGUUGAGCAGAUUCAUAAUAAUGUUAUAAAAUGAUUCUAAUGAUAAUAAUGGUAUAAAUAAUGUUAUAAAAGAUUUCUAUUUA